rnacentral:tRNA from 1 species
GCCCUAGUAGCUUAAUCACUAAAGCAUUGUUCUUGUAAACCAAAGUCAAAGAGAGACUUCCCAUCUCUAGCC